rnacentral:rRNA from 1 species
AUGGGUGAUGCAAUGAGAGCACUGGAGAACAGAGCAAACGACUCAAAGCAGGACAUGGAUGUAAUUUCUGCUUUAGAAGAGAUGUGGUCCAUGAAGUCGAGACAUGCAGGAGUAUCGGUUGACCAGAUGCUCGAAAUUUUGAAGCACUCUGCUCACCUCAAGGAGAAAAAAACAGUAGCAGAACUAGAUGAAGAACUUAUCAAAUCAAUCACUUUCCGAAACUCGAAAGAUUAUGUGAAACAGAUCGAAGAUGAUGACGACGAUGAUGAAGGUUUCGGUAUACCAGACCAGUCAAAUGUCACGGCAAAGAUCAAUGGAUCGUCUGAAUCAGUGUUAAAUCCAACAGAUGUCUUGACCAAAACUAAUGGUCCUGAGAGUUCCAACAAGAAGACUGCGGCAUCUAAGAUGCCCAUAUUCAUAGUAAAACCAAAGACCGUUGGCGCUAAUCCUCAGAAGAAACGGAAGGAAUCCGCAGCUGUCCAAGAUAACGGCAAAGCACCCGCCGCAGAGGAAAAAAGUGGAGCUUCAGAAGAGAAGACCAAUGUUCUUCAGUUCCUCUGCCAGUAUGAUAGCUUCAAAAGUGAUGACUGA